rnacentral:rRNA from 1 species
AUGCAGAAGUUUCCCCAUGUGGUGUUUAGGUUACCCGCUGCUGAACUGCAUUUUAGGCAACGGGUUGCUAGGUACCCAGAAAUAGGUACCCUGUGUGAGGGAGUGGUGCAGGCCAUACCCACAUUUGCUAUGUCUGUCUUCUACUUGACCAAGACCCUGUGUGAGGAGAUUAGUGCCAUGAUUGCUCGGUACUGGUGGAGUCAACAGGACAAUGAGAACAAGAUUCACUGGGUGGGCUGGCAGAAACUCACACGGUCCAAAGGGAGAGGAGGGCUCGGCUUUCGGGAUAUUCAUGAUUUCAACAUUGCCAUGCUUGCCCGCCAGGUGUGGAGACUGAUCCAAGAACCGGAGAGCCUUUGUGCUCAGCUCAUGAAGGCCCAAUAUUACCCAAACAGCUCUGUUCUGGAGGCGGGGGAGACUGCAAACAUGUCCUAUGCAUGGCGGAGUAUUACCCAUGGCAUUGAGCUGAUUAAGCAAGGUGUUAUAUGGAGGGUAGGCGACGGGGUGAGUAUUAGGAUAUGGGAAGACCCCUGGAUCCCGAGAGCCUGGUCACGCAAAGUUACCACACCGAGAGGGGGCAGCUUGCUAACCAGAGUCUCAGAGCUAAUUGACCCCGGCACGGGCGAAUGGGACGUUGAGUUAGUACGGGAUACUUUUUGGGAGGAGGAUGCAACCUUGAUACUCCAGAUGCCUCUGCGGGAUGGUGCUGUGGAUUUUAUGGCCUGGCAUUUUGACCCUAAGGGGCUGUUUUCGGUUAGGCAGGCUUACAAGUUUAAGAGGGCAAUCUCUGAGACUGCGGGGGGUGCUGGUGGGGCGCCCCAAACUGAGGCUGGCAACCUGAAUGAUGGAGGACAUGACAAAUGGAAGAGGAUCUGGCGUAUGCCUUGCCCGGGGAAAAUCAAACACUUCAUCUGGAGGAUGGUGCACAAUACCCUAGCCACCAAGGAUAUCCUACGCAGGAGGGGCAUGACCAUCCAGGAUCAUAAAUGCUUCCUAUGCAAUUCCCGGAAUGAAUCCGGCAAACAUCUCUUUGUGGAGUGCCAUGAAAUCAAGCAAGUAUGACGUGCUCUUAGCCUGGAGCACGUUCGACAGCGACUUGAUGUGUGUGAAUCCGUGGAUGCAACAAUGGACAGCUUGUGGCAGAUUCCGGAGAAGGGUCGUAUGCUGAUUGUCGUCAUGUGGUGGCAAUGGUGGACGCAGAGGAACAAAGUGAGGGAAGGCGAGAAGCCCAUGGAGCAUGGCCAUUUUGCUUGUAGAGCUGCAUGCACGACCGAGGAAUACCAGGGUUAUUUCAGCAAAAAUGCCAAACCUCAUGCUACGCCACCGCGCUGGCUUCCCCUGCCGGCCGACGUGCUCAAAAUUAAUGUGGAUGGAGCCCACGUCACAGGUGCGCAAUCUGGCGCAUGGGGGGUGAUAGUCUGCGACAGUGACGGGACGGUGGUGGCGGCUCGUGCAGGGCGAGCUGACCAUGUGGCGGAUGCUUUUGGCGCCGAACUGCUAGCGGUGGAAAAGGCCUUGGACGUUGCUGCUGAGCUCGGCGCGGUGCAUCUGAUCGUCGAGACUGAUGCUCUCCUGGUGGAACAAGCGCUCAACAGCAUGAAUGAAACUAGUGUAUAA